UGCCAGCCGCCGCGGUAAUACGGAGGGGGCUAGCGUUGUUCGGAAUUAUUGGGCGUAAAGCGCGUGUAGGCGGACUAUUAAGUAGAGGGUGAAAUCCCAGGGCUCAACCCUGGAACUGCCUUCUAUACUGGUAGUCUUGAGUUCGAGAGAGGUGAGUGGAAUUCCGAGUGUAGAGGUGAAAUUCGUAGAUAUUCGGAGGAACACCAGUGGCGAAGGCGGCUCACUGGCUCGAUACUGACGCUGGGGUGCGAAAGUGUGGGGAGCAAACAGGAUUAGAUA
rnacentral:rRNA from 1 species